rnacentral:rRNA from 1 species
UGGGGAAUCUUGGACAAUGGGCGCAAGCCUGAUCCAGCCAUGCCGCGUGGAUGAUGAAGGCCCUAGGGUUGUAAAAUCCUUUCGUCAGGGACGAUAAUGACGGUACCUGAAGAAGAAGCCCCGGCUAACUUCGUGCCAGCAGCCGCGGUAAUACGAAGGGGGCUAGCGUUGUUCGGAAUUACUGGGCGUAAAGCGCAUGUAGGCGGGUCGUUAAGUCGGGGGUGAAAGCCCAGAGCUCAACUCUGGAACUGCCUUCGAUACUGGCGACCUGGACCCAAGGAGAGGCGAGUGGAAUUGCGAGUGUAGAGGUGAAAUUCGUAGAUAUUCGCAGGAACACCAGUGGCGAAGGCGACUCGCUGGACUUGUGGUGACGCUGAGAUGCGAAAGCGUGGGGAGCAAACAGGAUUAGAUACCCAGGUAGUCCCUGAGCGGGCUGGCAAGGCGCAU